rnacentral:rRNA from 1 species
CAGCCGCCGCGGUAAUACGGAGGGUGCAAGCGUUAAUCGGAAUUACUGGGCGUAAAGCGCACGCAGGCGGUUUGUUAAGUCAGAUGUGAAAUCCCCGAGCUUAACUUGGGAACUGCAUUUGAAACUGGCAAGCUAGAGUCUUGUAGAGGGGGGUAGAAUUCCAGGUGUAGCGGUGAAAUGCGUAGAGAUCUGGAGGAAUACCGGUGGCGAAGGCGGCCCCCUGGACAAAGACUGACGCUCAGGUGCGAAAGCGUGGGGAGCAAACAGGAUUAGAUACCCGAGUAGUCCCUGUCUCUUUUAC